CCUGGUCGGAUUAUCGCAGGUCAACGAAGUCUUCUCCGAGGAAGGCAUGUCUCUCCGUUUGCACUCGUCGUCGAGACCACGACCACACUGAAACGAUGGCGGCCAGUGGUUCGAGGAUCAUGUUCGACGUAUCGGGAUCCUCGAUAACUUCCAAUACAGGGAGCAGCACUUUCUCUGCGGAAUCGAGAGCCCUUUAGAGAAUCAAGAGCGAAAGAGUGAAAGGGAUUUUCUUACCGAAGUAAGGCUGCACGUAGAGGCUAGCCGCCACCGGGGCUAUGUCGCCACCUUUCCUCCAAUAACUCGACCUUGGAAAGCACAUAUGCAAAUUUGCCAGGCUGACCACGCGGCAGAUCUUCGCCAGAAUAUCCGUACACUUGGUGGAACAUUUCUUGGUGGAAAGUUAUACACAGAGCAAAUAAGAAUCCUCUCUUUACUUUA